GAAACCCAGUAGGACCCAUUGGUCCUACUGUGGCAAAGAUUAAAUAUUGAUCAUGAGCUAUCUUCACAGAGAAAGUUGGGUCUUUCUCAAUAGAAAGAACCCAGGGUCAAGGGGAAGGUGAGCCUGCCUCAAAGACUUGGAGGCUAGUGAACUGUUAAAUGUUAGGAAAAUCCCAGUGGAGACUUGAUAAACUUUGUUCCCAAGGAGAGGUUGGUUCUAGGUAGUCCUUUCUCACUUGUCCUGACAGAAAUUUGCCCUUGGCCAUUGGGAUUUCUAUGCCAAUUGUGACGCUCAUCUACAUCCUGACCAAUGUGGCCUAUUACACAGUGCUGAACAUUUCAGAUGUCCUUAGCAGUGAUGCUGUGGCUGUGACAUUUGCUGACCAGACGUUUGGCAUGUUCAGCUGGACCAUCCCCAUUGCUGUUGCCCUGUCCUGCUUUGGGGGCCUCAAUGCAUCCAUCUUUGCUUCAUCAAGGUUGUUCUUCGUGGGCUCCCGGGAGGGCCACCUACCGGACCUUCUGUCCAUGAUCCACAUUGAGCGUUUUACACCUAUCCCUGCUUUACUGUUCAAU
rnacentral:sRNA from 1 species